UAUGCCCUUAUCAGAUUGUGAGUGUGUCU
rnacentral:piRNA from 1 species